GUGCCAGCCGCCGCGGUAAUACCGGCAGCCCGAGUGAUGGCCGCGAUUAUUGGGCCUAAAGCGUUCGUAGCCUGCCGGACAAGUCCGUUGGGAAAUCCACGCGCUCAACGCGUGGGCGUCCAGCGGAAACUGUCCGGCUUGGGGCCGGAAGACUCGAGGGGUACGUCCGGGGUAGGAGUGAAAUCCCGUAAUCCUGGACGGACCGCCGGUAGCGAAAGCGCCUCGAGAGGACGGACCCGACGGUGAGGAACGAAAGCCAGGGUCUCGAACCGGAUUAGAAACCCCUGUAGUCC
rnacentral:rRNA from 1 species